rfam:Lactobacillus rossiae DSM 15814 Scaffold1, whole genome shotgun sequence.
GCACGAGUGGCGCAACUGGAUAGCGUAUUGGUCCUCGAAACCAAGGGUUGUGGGUUCGAACCCCACCUCGUGCA